GAUGAACGCUGGCGGCGUGCCUAAUACAUGCAAGUCGAGCGAACAGAUAAGGAGCUUGCUCCUUUUACGUUAGCGGCGGACGGGUGAGUAACACGUGGGUAACCUACCUAUAAGACUGGGAUAACUUCGGGAAACCGGAGCUAAUACCGGAUAAUAUUUCGAACCGCAUGGUUCGAUAGUGAAAGAUGGUUUUGCUAUCACUUAUAGAUGGACCCGCGCCGUAUUAGCUAGUUGGUAAGGUAACGGCUUACCAAGGCUACGAUACGUAGCCGACCUGAGAGGGUGAUCGGCCCACCUGGAACUGAGACACGGUCCAGACUCCUACGGGAGGCAGCAGUAGGGAAUCUUCAGCAAUGGGCGAAAGCCUGACGGAGCAACGCCGCGUGAGUGAUGAAGGUCUUCGGAUCGUAAAACUCUGUUAUUAGGGAAGAACAUAAGUGUAAGUAACUGUGCACGUAUUGACGGUACCUAAUCAGAAAGCCACGGCUAACUACGUG
rnacentral:rRNA from 1 species